rnacentral:rRNA from 1 species
AUUGAACGCUGGCGGCAGGCCUAACACAUGCAAGUCGAGCGGAGCGGCGGCGGGGAGAGUAAUGCCUAGGAAUCUGCCUGGUCGUGGGGGAUAACGUCCGGAAACGGGCGCUAAUACCGCAACCUAUCAGAUGAGCCUAGGUCGGAUUAGCUAGUUGGUGGGGUAAAGGCCUACCCUGGCGACGACCCGUAACUGGUCUGAGAGGAUGAUCAGUCACACUGGAACUGAGACACGGUCCAGACUCCUACGGGAGGCAGCAGUGGGGAAUAUUGGACAAUGGGCGACAGCCUGAUCCAUCCAUGCCGCGUGUGUGAAGAAGGUCUUCGGAUUGUAAAGCACUUUAAGUUGGGAGGCGUUACCAACAGAAUAAGCACCGGCUAACUUCGUGCCAGCCGCCGCGGUAAUUC